GGAUAAAAGCUACCCUGGGGAUAACAGGCUUCUCUCCCACAAGAGUACACAUCGACGGGGAGGCUUGGCACAUCGAUGUCGGCUCGUCGCAUCCUGGGGCUGUAGGCGGUCCCAAGGGUUGGGCUGUUAGCCCAGUAAAGCGGCCCGCGAGCUGGGUUCAGAACGUCGUGAGACAGUUCGGUCCCUAUCCGUCGCGGGCGUUGGAAAUUUGAGAGGAGCUGUCCUUAGUACGAGAGGACCGGGAUGGACUUACCGCUGGUGUACCAGUUGUUCUGCCAAGGGCAUUGCUGGGUAGCUAUGUAGGGAAGGGAUAAACGCUGAAAGCAUCUAAGUGUGAAGCCCACCUCAAGAUGAGAUUUCCCAUUUCUUUAAGAAAGUAAGAUCCCUGAGAGAUGAUCAGGUAGAUAGGUCAGGAGUGGAAGUACAGUGAUGUAUGGAGCGGACUGAUACUAAUCGAUCGAGGACUUAACCAAU
rnacentral:rRNA from 1 species